GCUGGGUGCAGUGGUGCAUGCCUGUAAUCCCAGCAGCUCAGGAGGCUGAGGCAGGAGGAUAAUGAGUUCAAAGCCAGCCUCAGCAAAAUCUGAGGUGCUAAGCAACUCAGUGAGACCCUGUCUCUA
rnacentral:sRNA from 1 species